rnacentral:rRNA from 1 species
AGAGUUUGAUCCUGGCUCAGAACGAACGUUGGCGGCGUGGAUUAGGCAUGCAAGUCGAACGAAUCCCAGACCUGUAGCAAUACAGGGAUGGGGGAAGUGGCGAAAGGGGCAGUAAGGCGUGGGUAACCUACCUCGGGGACCGGGAUAGCCUUCCUAACGGAUGGGUAAUACCGGGCGAUGCGGCUGAGGGGCAUCUUUUG